GUGUUCGUUGAAACGAUAGAUGGUUGGCGCCAUCUCCUCUGACAAGGACGGGAACAGCUUUCGAGCUUACAUGCUGCCACAAUCUCCUUAAGGCUAUAUCCGCUUGGUCUUGGGGUGGAUCUUAC